rnacentral:rRNA from 1 species
GAUGAACGCUGGCGGCGUGCCUAAUACAUGCAAGUCGAGCGAACGGACGAGAAGCUUGUUUCUCUGAUGUUAGCGGCGGACGGGUGAGUAACACGUGGAUAACCUACCUAUAAGACUGGGAUAACUUCGGGAAACCGUAUCUAAUACCGGAUAAUAUUUUCAACCGCUUGGUUCAAAAGUGAAAGACGGUCUUGCUGUCACUUAUAGAUGGAUCCGCGCUGCAUUAGCUAGUUGGUAAGGUAACGGCUUACCAAGGCAACGAUGCAUAGCCGACCUGAGAGGGAGAUCGGCCACACUGGAACUGAGACACGGUCCAGACUCCUACGGGAGGCAGCAGUAGGGAAUCUUCCGCAAUGGGCGAAAGCCUGACGGAGCAACGCCGCGUGAGUGAUGAAGGUCUUCGGAUCGUAAAACUCUGUUAUUAGGGAAGAACAUAUGUGUAAGUAACUGUGCACAUCUUGACGGUACCUAAUCAGAAAGCCACGGCUAACUACGUG